UAAACCGUGGCUCAGUUCAGAUCGUAGGCUGCAACUCGCCUACGUGAAGGAGGAAUCGCUAGUAAUCGCAGGUCAGCAUACUGCGGUGAAUACGUUCCCGGGCCUUGUACACACCGCCCGUCACACCAUGGAAGUUGGCCACGCCCGAAGUCGUUACUCCAACCCUCUGGGAGGAGGACGCCGAAGGUGGGGCUGAUGACUGGGGUGAAGUCGUAACAAGGUAGCCGUACCGGAAGGUGCGGCUGGAUCACCUCCUAACA
rnacentral:rRNA from 1 species